GCAUCAAUGGGGUAGUGGUAACCUGGGUCGUUGCCAUAAAUGAUAUGUCGUGAAAGGUGACUUUAUCGACCCGCCGAGGGUUCGAUUCCCUCUUGAUGCA